ACGUAGGGUGCGAGCGUUAAUCGGAAUUACUGGGCGUAAAGCGUGCGUAGACGGUUACAUAAGUCGGGUGCGAAAGCCCCGGGCUCAACCUGGGAAUUGCAUUCGAGACUGCGUAGCUAGGGUGCGGAAGAGGGAAGCGGAAUUUCCGGUGUAGCGGUGAAAUGCGUAGAUAUCGGAAGGAACACCAGUGGCGAAAGCGGCUCACUGGACCACAACUGACGCUGAGGCGCGAAAGCUAGGGGAGCAAACAGGA
rnacentral:rRNA from 1 species